rnacentral:rRNA from 1 species
CUACGGGUCGCAGCAGUGAGGAAUAUUGGGCAAUGGAGGCAACUCUGACCCAGCCAUGCCGCGUGCAGGAAGACGGCCCUCUGGGUUGUAAACUGCUUUUGUUUGGGAAUAAACCCUUCUACGUGUAGAAGGCUGAAGGUACCUUACGAAUAAGGAUCGGCUAACUCCGUGCCAGCAGCCGCGGUAAUACGGAGGAUCCAAGCGUUAUCCGGAUUUAUUGGGUUUAAAGGGUCCGUAGGCGGAUCUUUAAGUCAGUGGUGAAAGCCCACAGCUCAACUGUGGAACUGCCAUUGAUACUGGAGAUCUUGAGUGUAGUAGAAGUAGGCGGAAUAGGGCAUGUAGCGGUGAAAUGCAUAGAUAUGCCCUAGAACACCGAUUGCGAAGGCAGCUUACUAUGUUACAACUGACGCUGAGGGACGAAAGCGUGGGGAGCAAACAGGAUUAGAUACCCCCGUAGUC